UCUCCGUUGGUGAACCAGCGGAGGGAUCAUUACAGAGUUGCAAAACUCCCAAACCAUUGUGAACGUUACCUAUCCCGUUGCUUCGGCGGGCGGCCCGGGCCCCGCGCCCGGCGCCCCCCGGCCCCCCGUGGGCGCCCGCCGGAGGUAAACCAAACCCUUGAAUUGCAUGGCCUCUCUGAGUCUUCCGUACUGAAUAAGUCAGAACUUUCAACAACGGAUCUCUUGGUUCUG
rnacentral:misc_RNA from 1 species